CGUAACAAGGUUUGAAAGACAAGUCCUUCCGUGGUACACUUGCCGAAGCCUUAGCUGCCCGAAAGGGUUCUUAGCGACUCUAAACAAUAAGUUAGCUAGUCUCUCACGAGGCAACAUUUCCAAAUUGCGGGAAACCCCUAAAGCCGACACUACUAAGUGUGCGCUCGAAAGAGACCACAUGGCCAGGUUAAUAGCCUUGGGUAUAGUAAGAAUGUGUUUCGGAUGUAACAAUGGGCAAUCCGCAGCCAAGUCCUAACCUCCCUCAGGGGAGUAUGGAUGCAGUUCACAGGCCAAAUGGUUAUGGGUGGAGCGCAUGCUCUGCUUAAGAUAUGGUCGGGCUCUUUAGGAAACUUUCGAGAAAAGUACCGUUCCGUAGGUGAACCUGCGGAAGGAUCAUUAACGAAUCAAAGGUCUUCGGACCGAUUCUCUUACACCCGUGCUCUUGUCUUUUAUUAGACAAAUGAUUUUCUGCAUAUACAGUCGUCUGAGAAAUCCAUCCUUUUAGGAUGUAGAAGAAAUAUGAAAACUAUGAACAACGGAUCUCUAGGCUCUUGCAUCGAUGAAGAACGCAGCGAAACGCGAUAGGUAUUGUGAAUUGCAGAAUUCCGUGAAUCAUCGAAUCUUUGAACGCACAUUGCGCCUUCCGGUAUUCCGGGAGGCAUGCCUGUCUGAGCGUCAGUGAAUCCUCAUACCUUGAUGUGUGUUCGUACAUGUCUCGCGUGGUUGUGAGCCGUGAGAUUUGUCUCUGGCUGAAAUGUAUUGGCGGUGUCNCCUGGUACUUUAUGUGAUAGGUAUUUCCAACUCAUUGAACCCAAGCAUCGCACUGNCUUUCUAUAAACACUGUACUCUUGACCUCAGAUCAGGUAGGGAUACCCGCUGAACUUAAGCAUAUCAAUAAGCGGAGGAAAAGAANCCAACAGGGAUGCCCUCAGUAGCGGCGAGUGAAGCGGGCAAAGCUCAAAUUUGAAAUCUGGCGUGGGUCAUCUGCGUCCGAAUUGUAAUUUCAAGAGGCAUCUCCGGCGAUGUCCCUGGCUCAAGUCUGUUGGAAUACAGCGCACGAUAGGGUGAGAGCCCCGUAUCAAGUCAGAGGAAGUAGCCAUGUGGAGUGUCCUCGAAGAGUCGAGUUGUUUGGGAAUGCAGCUCAAAAUGGGUGGUAAAUUCCAUCUAAAGCUAAAUAUUGGCAAGAGACCGAUAGCGCACAAGUAGAGUGAUCGAAAGGUGAAAAGGACUUUGGAAAGAGAGUCAAACAGUACGUGAAAUUGUUCAUAGGGAAGCGCUCAAUACCAGAGUCGCUGGUGUCGGAUCAUGGGUCCUUUGGGGCCCUGCACUCCGGCNCCUUGCGGGCCAGCAUCGGUUAAUGCGGCGGGAUAAACUCGUUGGGAACGUAGCUCCUUCGGGAGUGUUAUAGACCAGUGAUGAUACCGCCAGCUGUUGAUCGAGGAACGCGCCUUCGGGUGAGGAUGCUGGCAUAAUGGUCUUUAGCGGCC
rnacentral:rRNA from 1 species